rnacentral:rRNA from 1 species
AGCGGAGGAAAAGAAACCAACAGGGAUUGCCCUAGUAACGGCGAGUGAAGCGGCAACAGCUCAAAUUUGAAAUCUGGCUCUUUUAGAGUCCGAGUUGUAAUUUGCAGAGGGCGCUUUGGCUUUGGCAGCGGUCCAAGUUCCUUGGAACAGGACGUCACAGAGGGUGAGAAUCCCGUACGUGGUCGCUGGCUAUUGCCGUGUAAAGCCCCUUCGACGAGUCGAGUUGUUUGGGAAUGCAGCUCUAAAUGGGAGGUACAUUUCUUCUAAAGCUAAAUAUUGGCCAGAGACCGAUAGCGCACAAGUAGAGUGAUCGAAAGAUGAAAAGCACUUUGGAAAGAGAGUCAAACAGCACGUGAAAUUGUUGAAAGGGAAGCGCUUGCAGCCAGACUUGCUUACAGUUGCUCAUCCGGGUUUCUACCCGGUGCACUCUUCUGUAGGCAGGCCAGCAUCAGUUUGGGCGGUAGGAUAAAGGUCUCUGUCACGUACCUCCUUUCGGGGAGGCCUUAUAGGGGAGACGACAUACUACCAGCCUGGACUGAGGUCCGCGCAUCUGCUAGGAUGCUGGCGUAAUGGCUGUAAGCGGCCCGUCUUGAAACACGGACCAAGGAGUCUAACAUCUAUGCGAGUGUUUGGGUGUCAAGCCCGAGCGCGUAAUGAAAGUGAACGGAGGUGGGAACCCGCAAGGGUGCACCAUCGACCGAUCCUGAUGUCUUCGGAAGGAUUUGAGUAAGAGCAUGGCUGUUGGGACCCGAAAGAUGGUGAACUAUGCUUGAAUAGGGUGAAGCCAGAGGAAACUCUGGUGGAGGCUCGCAGCGGUUCUGACGUGCAAAUCGAUCGUCAAAUUUGGGCAUAGGGGCGAAAGACUAAUCGAACUAUCUAGUAGCUGGUUCCUGCCGAAGUUUCCCUCAGGAUAGCAGUAACGUAUUCAGUUUUAUGAGGUAAAGCGAAUGAUUAGAGGCCUGGGGGUUGAAACAACCUUCACCUAUUCUCAAACUUUAAAUAUGUAAGAAGUCCUUGUUACUUAAUUGAACGUGGACAGUUGAAUGAAACGUUAUUAGUGGGCCAUUUUUGGUAAGCAGAACUGGCGAUGCGGGAUGAACCGAACGAGGGGUUAAAGUGCCGGAAUAUACGCUCAUCAGACACCACAAAAGGUGUUGGUUCAUCUAGACAGCAGGACGGUGGCCAUGGAAGUCGGAAUCCGCUAAGGAGUGUGUAACAACUCACCUGCCGAAUGAACUAGCCCUGAAAAUGGAUGGCGCUCAAGCGUGUUACUUAUACCCCUCCGCUGGGGCAAAAUUUACGCCCCAGCGAGUAGGCAGGCGUGGAGGUCCGUGACGAA